UAACCCCCAAUAUCUUCUUUCUUCUAUGGGGACCAAGGAAACCAAGAAAAGAAAAACCAGAAGAGUGAACGUGUGCCAAGUGUGAGGGAAAGUCAAACAACCUUAUCUAAGUGUACAGGAACCAACUGAUAGGGAGGGUCGCUCUUCUGAGGAGGGUUACAGGCAAUGAUGAAGAAUUUGUGUUGGGCAACUUCUCUGUAGCGGCAGUUAGGAUACUUCCCCCCGGUGAGGCUGCACUGCGUCAUGUUGACAGGCUUUGGGCUCUGGUGGCAGUUUUUCCAACCAUUCUUGCAGGCCAGAUGCUGGGCAACUGAGAUUCAAGAUUGUAUCACCUAAUGAAAGAGACAGCCUCUGUGAACAGCAGCUGUCCUACUAGCCAAAUGGGCAUUAGUGUGGCGAGCACCCUGGUCUCAAUCAGCAGCAGGCCAAACAGCCCCCUGCGGCCCAG